rnacentral:rRNA from 1 species
GACGAACGCUGGCGGCGUGCCUAAUACAUGCAAGUAGGACGCAGUUGCGAACGGGUGAGUAACGCGUAGGUAACUACCUAUUAGAGGGGGAUAACUAUUGGCAACGAUAGCUAAUACCGCAUACUAGUAGAUGGACCUGCGUUGUAUUAGGUAGUAGGUAGGGUAAUGGCCUACCUAGGCAACGAUACAUAGCCGACCUGGCAGGGUGAGCGGCCAACAUGGGACUGGGACACGGGUCAUACUCCUACGGGAGGCAGCAGUAGUGAAGCUUCGGCAAUGGGGGGAACCCUGACCGUGCAACGCCGCGUGAGUGAAGAAGGUUUUCGGAUCGUAAAGCUCUGUUGUUAAGGAAGCGGUACUUAACCAGAAAGGGACGGCGAACUACGUGCCAGCAUCCGCGGUAAUAC